rnacentral:rRNA from 1 species
GACGAACGCUGGCGGCGUGCUUAACACAUGCAAGUCGAACGGUAAGGCCCUUCGGGGUACACGAGUGGCGAACGGGUGAGUAACACGUGGGUGAUCUGCCCUGCACUUCGGGAUAAGCCUGGGAAACUGGGUCUAAUACCGGAUAGGACCACUGCCUGCAUGGGUGGUGGUGGAAAGCUUUUGCGGUGUGGGAUGGGCCCGCGGCCUAUCAGCUUGUUGGUGGGGUGAUGGCCUACCAAGGCGACGACGGGUAGCCGGCCUGGGAGGGUGACCGGCCACACUGGGACUGAGAUACGGCCCAGACUCCAACGGGAGGCAGCGGUGGGGAAUAUUGCACAAUGGGCGCAAGCCUGAUGCAGCGACGCCGCGUGAGGGAUGACGGCCUUCGGGUUGUAAACCUCUUUCAGCACCGACGAAGCGCAAGUGACGGUAGGUGCAGAAGAAGGACCGGCCAACUACGUGCCAGCAGCCGCCGUAA